UACGGAGGGUGCAAGCGUUGUUCGGAAUUAUUGGGCGUAAAGAGCGUGUAGGCGGCCGGGUAAGUCAGAUGUGAAAUCCUUCUGCUUAACAGAAGAAGUGCAUUUGAUACUGUCCGGCUUGAGUACGGGAGAGGAAAGUGGAAUUCCCGGUGUAGAGGUGAAAUUCGUAGAUAUCGGGAGGAACACCGGUGGCGAAGGCGGCUUUCUGGUCCGAUACUGACGCUGAGACGCGAAAGCGUGGGGAGCAAACAGG
rnacentral:rRNA from 1 species